GUGACCGUGAUCGCUUUGCUGCUUCUGUUGAAUGGAUUGGUAAAAAUAUUCGCUUUGAUAUUGUGAGUGAAUGGCUAAGCAACUGAAUUUCAAGUUUCUGUACUCAAUUUGGAGUUAAGGAUGAAUUUAAUUACUUUUUGGUCGGUUACAGAACAAAAUUGUUUCUUUGUUUGAGACGACAAUUAGAGUUCUUGGAGAAUUGCUUUCGGCUCAUCUUAUAGCCAAUGAUUACGCUACGGGAUGCGAUGAUUGGUGCGGUUCCAAGCUAUGAGGAGCUGUAUAUUAAAGUUCCAAGGGUCUUAAGUAUGGACUAAAAACUUUGUAAAGGUACUUGAUUUGAUACAAGAAAACAAGACUAUGGUUUUGUACUCUGCAUUUCUUGGUUCUUUUUAUUGGAAAAUGAUCUAGCUCUUAAUCUAUAUAACAUUCAUUUUUGUCAUCA